UUAAGUAAGGGCGUAUGGCGGAUGCCUAGGCUCUCAGAGGCGAAGAAGGACGUGAUAAGCUGCGAAAAGUUGCGGGGAGAAGCACAUAUUUUAUGAUCCGCAAAUAUCCGAAUGGGGCAACCCAUCACAUUGAAGGUGUGAUAUCCGAAAGGAGGCAAACCCGGUGAACUGAAACAUCUAAGUAACCGGAGGAAGAGAAAACAAAAGUGAUUCCGUUAGUAGUGGCGAGCGAACGCGGAUUAGCCCAAACCAGGUUUGUUACGGCAAAUCUGGGGUUGUAGGACCACGAUAUUUGAAUCUAAGUGAACUGGAAUCCUUUGGAAAGAGGAAUCAAAGAGGGUGAUAAUCCCGUACAGGUAAGCGAAGAGGAGAUAGUGGUAUCCUGAGUAGUGCGGGGCACGUGGAACCCUGUAUGAAUCUGCCGGGACCAUCCGGUAAGGCUAAAUACUCCUGAGAGACCGAUAGUGAACUAGUACCGUGAGGGAAAGGUGAAAAGAACCCUAAGUAAGGGAGUGAAAGAGAACCUGAAACCGUACGCUUACAAGCGGUCGGAGCCAUUUUACAUGGUGACGGCGUGCCUUUUGCAUAAUGAGCCUACGAGUUACUUUAUCUAGCAAGGUUAAGUGUUUAAGACACGGAGCCGUAGCGAAAGCGAGUCUGAAUAGGGCGUUUAGUUAGGUUGAGUAGACGCGAAACCGAGUGAUCUACCCAUGGGCAGGUUGAAGCUGUGGUAACACACAGUGGAGGACCGAACCAGUUGACGUUGAAAAGUCUUUGGAUGACCUGUGGGUAGGGGUGAAAGGCCAAUCAAACUCGGAAAUAGCUCGUACUCCCCGAAAUGCAUUUAGGUGCAGCGUUGAGUAAAAGUUUUAUAGAGGUAGAGCUACUGAUUGGAUGCGGGGGCUUCACCGCCUACCAAUUCCUGACAAACUCCGAAUGCUAUAAAAUGUUUCUCAGCAGUGAGGGCAUGGGUGCUAAGGUCCAUGUCCGAGAGGGAAAGAACCCAGACCAUCAGCUAAGGUCCCCAAAUAUAUACUAAGUUGAAUAAACGAGGUUUGACUGCCCAGACAGCUAGGAUGUUGGCUUGGAAGCAGCCAUUCAUUUAAAGAGUGCGUAACAGCUCACUAGUCGAGCGGUCGAGCAUGGAUAAUAAUCGGGCAUAAGUAUAUUACCGAAGCUAUGGACUUGUAAAAGUGGUAGGGGAGCAUUGUAGUUGUGUAGAAGGUGAACUGUGAGGUUUGCUGGAACGGCUACAAAAGAAAAUGUAGGCAUAAGUAACGAUAAAGGGGGCGAGAAACCCCCUCACCGAAAGACUAAGGUUUCCUCAGCGAUGCUAAUCAGCUGAGGGUUAGUCGGGACCUAAGGCGAACCCGAAGGGGGUAGUCGAUGGACAACAGGUUAAUAUUCCUGUACUUCUUAUAAUUGCGAUGGGGUGACGGAGUAUUGAAAGCACCGCGGACUGACGGAUAUGUUCGUUAAAGUAUGUAGCUAUAGGCCUAGAUUAAGAGUUAAGGUUUGGCAAAGUACGAUAGUACCACAAAGCUUCGGCAGCGUGGAUAGUGUGCCUAAAAGCUUCCAAGAAAAACCUCUAAGCUUCAGAUUAUAAGAACCCGUACCGUAAACCGACACAGGUAGUUGGGAUGAGAAUUCUAAGGUGCUCGAGAGAUUCAUGGCUAAGGAACUAGGCAAAAUAGACCUGUAACUUCGGGAGAAAGGUCGCCCUCAGCAAUGAGGGCCGCAGUGAAAAGGUCCAGGCGACUGUUUAUCAAAAACACAGGGCUUUGCUAAAUUGAAAGAUGAUGUAUAAGGCCUGACACCUGCCCGGUGCUGGAAGGUUAAGUGGAGGGUUUAGCUUCGGCGAAGAUCUGAAAUGAAGCCCCAGUAAACGGCGGCCGUAACAAUAACGGUCCUAAGGUAGCGAAAUUCCUUGUCGGGUAAGUUCCGACCUGCACGAAUGGUGCAACGAUCUGGACACUGUCUCAGCCAUGAGCUCGGUGAAAUUGUAGUAUCGGUGAAGAUGCCGAUUACCCGCAGCGGGACGAAAAGACCCCGUGAACCUUUACUAUAGCUUAGUAUUGACUUUGGAUAAGUAAUGUGUAGGAUAGGUGGGAGACUUUGAAGCGGCGUCGCUAGGCGUUGUGGAGUCAACCUUGAAAUACCACCCUUUGCUUAUCUAGAGCCUAACUCAGAGAUGAGGACAGUGCUUGGUGGGUAGUUUGACUGGGGUGGUCGCCUCCAAAAGAGUAACGGAGGCUUCUAAAGGUACCCUCAGCACGCUUGGUAACCGUGCGUAGAGUGCAAUGGCAUAAGGGUGCUUGACUGAGAGACUUACAAGUCGAUCAGGUUGGAAACAAGAGCAUAGUGAUCCGGUGGUUCCGCAUGGAAGGGCCAUCGCUCAAAGGAUAAAAGGUACUCCGGGGAUAACAGGCUGAUCUCCCCCAAGAGCUCACAUCGACGGGGGGGUUUGGCACCUCGAUGUCGGCUCGUCACAUCCUGGGGCUGGAGAAGGUCCCAAGGGUUGGGCUGUUCGCCCAUUAAAGUGGCACGCGAGCUGGGUUCAGAACGUCGUGAGACAGUUUGGUCCAUAUCCCGUAUAGGCGUUUAGAGCAUUGAGAGGAUCUCCCCUUUGUACGAGAGGACCAGGUGGGGACAAACCGCUAGUGUACCAGUUAUUCCGCCAGGGGUAAACGCUGGGUAGCUAUGUUUGGAGUAAAUAACUGCUGAAAGCAUAUAAGUAGGAAGUUCACCUUAAGAUGAGUGCUCUUUUGUCAAUGUCUAGUUUGACAGAAAAGACAAGGAAGGUCACGGUAAGACUAACCGUUUGAUAGGCGUGAUGUAGACGUCCAGUAAUGGAUUUUGAAGCUGACACGUCCUAAUAGACCGAGGGAUUUGAU
rnacentral:rRNA from 14 species